rnacentral:lncRNA from 1 species
UAAAAUUUGAAUAAAACUUUAUAUAAAUUAAAAUUUAAUUUAAAUUCAAAUUCAUAAGUUAAAUUCGAAAUACUUGAUUAAAUUUUAAUUUUUAAUUUAAGUUCAAAUUAAAAUUUAAAAUUAUAUAUUUAAAUUUUAAAUUUUAACUCAUAUUUUAAUUUAAAAAGUUGAAAAAAUAAAUUUAAUCUGAAUAAAUAUUCAUUCCGUCCGGAUUCAACUUCCAAUCCGGCCUUCUAGGCCGGAUUGAAAAAAGAGGUGAUUAGGGGAUUCCCAGUCCACUCGGGAAUCGGAAUGGGAAUGAGACUCCUGCAUACCAAACACCCACAAACGGAUUCACCCAUUCCGAUUCCGAUUCCAGAGUAAAAUAGAAGCGAACCAAACACGCCCAUAGAGUUGGGCUGGAAUAUUAUUGAUAGCAAAAGAUUCUUUUUGCUAUCAAGUUUUUAAUCCUUGGAUAAAAAAUUGUAAGAUUAAGAUGAUAUUAGUCCCUUAGUAUUGAAUAGUCCCCCUAGGAAUGAAUAGUCCCCACUGGGUUAUAAUAUUUAAUUCAAUGGUUAAAAAUGAUGAAAGAAAUUAAUCCAAAGGCUAAAAACAUGAUAGCAAAAAGGGUCUUUUGCUAUCAAUAGUAUUCUAGCCCAACUCUCUCUCUCUCUCUCUCUCUCUCUCUCUCUCUCUCUCUCUCUCUCUAUAUAUAUAU